AUGGUUCAGGUUAAAUCCUGCUAAAAUGCACCAUCUGCUGGUAAAACGGGGUAUUGCAUUCACCCUAGAAAGAGCGGGGUAUUAUGGGUAAUCCUCAGAGCCAUGAGGAUCACUGUCGAGGAGUUUCUUUCAUGCCAGAGACUGACUUUACCUCGGUGCCCAUGUGUGAAAUGCAGGUGGAGAAAUAAAGAAAACAACUGAUGCCAGAUUGAGCUCCUAGUCGUUCAUUUCUGCACCAAGAAGCCACCAGAGCCACGUAGGCCACACUUGGAAGCGAUGCCGGUGAGGCAGCAGCGAGCUCUGCCUCACCUUGGAUUGCGCAACCCCUGGCUCUGCGCUGGC